rnacentral:misc_RNA from 1 species
GAAAUGCGAUAAGUAAUGUGAAUUGCAGAAUUCCGUGAAUCAUCGAAUCUUUGAACGCACAUUGCGCCCCCUGGCAUUCCGGGGGGCAUGCCUGUCCGAGCGUCAUUGCAGACCCUCAAGCCCGGCUUGCGUGAUGGGCCGCAGCGUCCCCGAACCUCCGGGGGACGGGCCCGAAAGGCAGUGGCGGCGUCGCGGUCAUCCGAUUAGCCCAAGCGUAUGGGGACUCUCCGUCACACGCUAGCGGCGCGGACCGACGCUCGCCUAAAACCGUCGAACGAUAUCCAUGGUUUGACCUCGGAUCAGGUAGGGAUACCCGCUGAACUUAA